rnacentral:tRNA from 1 species
GGCCGAGAUGGUCGGUGCCGCGCAGCCCCGCGCCGGGGCCGGGCGCCUCGCCGGUGUCCAGGAAGUCGGCGUUCCAGUCGUCGUCCGGCCC